GUUAGAUUGGCAGAGUUAUGUGAUUGACUUAGGAUCAAUAGAAAUAGGUGAAAGUCCUUUAUCUAAUA
rnacentral:tRNA from 1 species